AGUAAAAACUCCCCAACCAACAAGACAUAAAGGAAACUAGGCUUUGAACAGGAGAUACAUUUAAAGAAACAGCUCUUUUUUUUCCAGUGGGAGAUCUGAGCUGCUGGGUUACAACUAAGGUGUGAGGACGAGCAUGAUGCUUUGCUCUGCACAGAACCUAAUGACUGGAUUGAGUGAAUAUUUGUGAUAGGAGUUAUUUGGGAGCUACUAAAAAAAUGACACUUGGAAAAUUCUGUUGUUCCAG
rnacentral:lncRNA from 1 species